GUGUUGGAUGAAAGGAGAGAACGCUAGCACUGCCCCUGAUGAGGAUGAAAGAGGCCCUGGGCCUGACAACACACACAGGGUCAACAUUUACAACAAAAGCCACUUGCAGUCUAAAAUAUGCAUCUUAUUCU
ensembl:snRNA U6atac minor spliceosomal RNA